UACGGAGGAUGCAAGCGUUAUCCGGAAGGAUUGGGCGUAAAGCGUCCGCAGGUGGCUAUGUAAGUCUGCUGUUAAAGAGCAAGGCUCAACCUUGUAAAGGCAGUGGAAACUACAUGGCUAGAGUGCGUUCGGGGCAGAGGGAAUUCCUGGUGUAGCGGUGAAAUGCGUAGAGAUCAGGAAGAACACCGGUGGCGAAAGCGUUCUGCUAGACCUGUACUGACACUGAGGGACGAAAGCUAGGGGAGCGAAUGGG
rnacentral:rRNA from 1 species